AUUGAACGCUGGCGGAAUGCUUUACACAUGCAAGUCGAACGGCAGCACGGGGGCAACCCUGGUGGCGAGUGGCGAACGGGUGAGUAAUACAUCGGAACGUGCCUAGUCGUGGGGGAUAACGCAGCGAAAGCUGUGCUAAUACCGCAUACGAUCUACGGAUGAAAGCGGGGGAUCGCAAGACCUCGCGCGAUUGGAGCGGCCGAUGGCAGAUUAGGUAGUUGGUGGGGUAAAGGCUCACCAAGCCUGCGAUCUGUAGCUGGUCUGAGAGGACGACCAGCCACACUGGGACUGAGACACGGCCCAGACUCCUACGGGAGGCAGCAGUGGGGAAUUUUGGACAAUGGGCGAAAGCCUGAUCCAGCCAUUCCGCGUGCAGGAUGAAGGCCCUCGGGUUGUAAACUGCUUUUGUACGGGACGAAAAGCCUUCUUCUAAUACAGGGGGGUCAUGACGGUACCGUAAGAAUAAGCACCGGCUAACUACGUGCGAGCCGCCGCAGUAACAC
rnacentral:rRNA from 1 species